CAUUGGGACUGAGACACUGCCCAAACUCCUACGGGAGGCUGCAGUAGGGAAUUUUCCGCAAUGCACGAAAGUGUGACGGAGCGACGCCGCGUGUGUGAUGAAGGCUUUCGGGUCGUAAAGCACUGUUGUAAGGGAAGAAUAACUGAAUUCAGAGAAAGUUUUCAGCUUGACGGUACCUUACCAGAAAGGGAUGGCUAAAUACGUGCCAGCAGCCGCGGUAAUACGUAUGUCCCGAGCGUUAUCCGGAUUUAUUGGGCGUAAAGCGAGCGCAGACGGUUUAUUAAGUCUGAUGUGAAAUCCCGAGGCCCAACCUCGGAACUGCAUUGGAAACUGAUUUACUUGAGUGCGAUAGAGGCAAGUGGAACUCCAUGUGUAGCGGUGAAAUGCGUAGAUAUGUGGAAGAACACCAGUGGCGAAAGCGGCUUGCUAGAUCGUAACUGACGUUGAGGCUCGAAAGUAUGGGUAGCAAACGGGAU
rnacentral:rRNA from 1 species